CCACUUUUGCUCUAGGCACUUAACCUACCUAUUAACCAAUUAGGCGAAGGGAACUAUGGGGAAAAGUCUUUAUCAAUUUGGCUUUACUUCCAACAACUUCCACUCGGCUACCUCAACCCAGUUGACCGACUAUAGUUUGGUCCGACUUAAACCAUUGCCUUAGGGGUAGGGAUGUCAAUGGGUAUGGAUACCCGAAAUUUUAUCCGAACCUGAACCCGAAUGAAACGGAUAUAUCCGAUGGAUAUGGAUAUGGAUUUGGAUAUGGAUAUAAAAAAUAGAAACCCGACGGAUAUGGAUUCGGAUAUGGAUUUUGAUUGUACCCGACCCGAACCCGAACCCGACCCGAAUCCGAAUUUAUUUUGUAUUAUAUAUAAUAUAUAUAUAAAAAUUUGAUGUUAUAUUUGAAUUUGUAUUUUAAAAUUUAGAUUUAAUAUAAUAUAUUUUGAAAUAUUGAAAAGAGAAAUAAGUGUUUCGGGUUCAAAUUUUCGGGUUCGGGUUCGGGUUCGUGUUUCGGAUUUUUGGCCGGGUUCGAGUUUGGAUAUGGAUUUUUAAAAUCCGUCGGGUUCGGGUUCGGGUCUUGGGUUUGGAGUCAGGUUCGGGUUCGGAUUUUUAAAAAU
rnacentral:lncRNA from 1 species